UUGGCUGAGCUGUGGUGCUUCCCAUUGGCUGGGCUGUUGCUAGGUGGGAGAGAAGUCUUCCUGAGUAGUAGAGUGGCUGUGCUUCCUGCGGGAGAUGCGAGCGCCCCACUUCCUGUUUGGUGUGACUGAGGCCAUGUGAUGGGCUGAGGAAAACUAACACACUACCCACACACUGAAGCCACCUUGACUGCUGCUGCCAAAGCUGGAUGGUCUUGAAGAACGACUGCGGAUUAUCGAGUGAGCGCCCCGGAGGGCAAUGCUCCGCUGGCAGGCAGCCAGCACCCCCGAAAGUGGGCAGUUGCUGCAUGAGAGCUGGGCUCAGGGUGGCCCUGAAAGAGGAAGGGGACAGGGACCCUCCCCGCGCAGACCUCCAGGUUGCCCCUCUGGUUGUCUUCCUGGUGUGGAGGAGAUGCGACUGAGAAAUGGAUC
rnacentral:lncRNA from 1 species